rnacentral:lncRNA from 1 species
GGAGGAGUCAUUUGCUGUCUUUUGAGUGAAAUCCAAUAGCUACAACUAUGUAAUACACCAACCAGUCCAUUUCAGAACGAACUUCAUACGAACCUGAAUUGUCCAAUUUCAUGUACCAAUCGAAAUCGGAUUGAGUCCAAAACUUGGGGAACAUCAUAAUACAGUGGGAGGAGUCAUUUGGUGGGUUUUGAGUGAAAUGCAGUCCCC